ensembl:lncRNA novel transcript
AAAAAAAGAAAGAGAGAAAGAAAAAGAAAAAAAAGAGAAAGAGAAAGAAGGACUUCAGAGAAUCGUUCCGAGAAUUUUCUGGGAAAAUAUGCAACAGCAGGUCAUAAAACAGAUCUCACAGAGAUAUGUGAGAUCAAUAGGUAUGUGCUUUGGGCCACAUGAAACUUUAAAAAAAUGUAUCUUAAAAUUUAAAAUAGGAAAAUAUUAUGUCAGAAUUCAAAUAGUGACUGAGGAACAGAUAAAUGUGUCUAUCCACACAAUGGAAUAUUAUUCAGCCAUAAAAGGGAAUGAAUACAUGCUACAACAUGGGUGAACCUUGAAACACGCUAAGUGAAAGAAGCCAGUCACAAAAGGAUAAAUAUGCGUAAGUCCAUUUGCGGGAGAUAUCUACAACUAGGCGAAUCCAUAAAGACAGAUAUCAGAUUGGUGGUUGCCAGAGGCAAGGGGGAGGGAGAGCAGGAGUGACUGCUAACGGAUGUGGGGUUUCCUUUCGGAGUGAUAGGAAAGUUCUGGAAUGAGAUAGUGGUGAUGGUUGCAGAACAAUGUGAAUGUACUUAAUGACGCUGAAUUGUACACUUUUAAAUGGUUACAAUGGUCAAUUUUAUGUGUAUUUGAUCAUAAUAAAAAGAAAUCUAGGCUGGG